GUCUACGGCCAUACCAUACUGAACGUGCCCGAUCUCAUCUGAUCUUGGAAGCUAAGCAGAGUAGGGCCUGGUUAGUACUUGAAUGGGAAAAGUGAUCCCUUGAUCAAGCUUUGGGGCAGGGCGAGGAGGUAGGAU
rnacentral:rRNA from 1 species